rnacentral:rRNA from 1 species
AUACCGUGAAACUGCGAAUGGCUCAUUAAAUCAGUUAUCGUUUAUUUGAUAGUACCUUACUACUUGGAUAACCGUGGUAAUUCUAGAGCUAAUACAUGCUAAAAACCCCAACUUCGGGAGGGGUGUAUUUAUUAGAUAAAAAACCAACGCCCNUUCGGGGCUUCUUGGUGAUUCAUGAUAACUUUACGGAUCGCAUGGCCUUGCGCCGGCGACGGUUCAUUCAAAUUUCUGCCCUAUCAACUUUCGAUGGUAAGGUAUUGGCUUACCAUGGUUUCAACGGGUAACGGGGAAUUAGGGUUCGAUUCCGGAGAGGGAGCCUGAGAAACGGCUACCACAUCCAAGGAAGGCAGCAGGCGCGCAAAUUACCCAAUCCCGACACGGGGAGGUAGUGACAAUAAAUACUGAUACAGGGCUCUUUUGGGUCUUGUAAUUGGAAUGAGUACAAUUUAAACCUCUUAACGAGGAACAAUUGGAGGGCAAGUCUGGUGCCAGCAGCCGCGGUAAUUCCAGCUCCAAUAGCGUAUAUUAAAGUUGUUGCAGUUAAAAAGCUCGUAGUUGAAACUUGGGUCUGGCUGGCAGGUCCGCCUCACCGCGUGUACUUGUCCGGCCGGGCCUUCCUUCUGGAGAACCUCAUGCCCUUCACUGGGCGUGUUGGGGACCAGGACUUUUACUUUGAAAAAAUUAGAGUGUUCAAAGCAGGCCUUUGCUCGAAUACGUUAGCAUGGAAUAAUAGAAUAGGACGUGCGGUCCUAUUUUGUUGGUUUCUAGGACCGCCGUAAUGAUUAAUAGGGACAGUCGGGGGCAUCAGUAUUCAAUUGUCAGAGGUGAAAUUCUUGGAUUUAUUGAAGACUAACUACUGCGAAAGCAUUUGCCAAGGAUGUUUUCAUUAAUCAGUGAACGAAAGUUAGGGGAUCGAAGACGAUCAGAUACCGUCGUAGUCUUAACCGUAAACUAUGCCGACUAGGGAUCGGGCGAUGUUCUUUUUCUGACUCGCUCGGCACCUUACGAGAAAUCAAAGUUUUUG